ensembl:rRNA 5S_rRNA 5S ribosomal RNA
GCCAGCAGCAUACCACACUGCAUCCCGCUGCUGGCUUGCUUCUGAAGCUAAGCAGGGUUGGUCCUGGAUGGGAGACCAGAUGCUGCUGGAA